rnacentral:rRNA from 1 species
AACUAACAAGGAUUCCCCUAGUAACGGCGAGUGAAGAGGGAAGAGCUCAAAUUUUGAAUCUGGCGUCUUCGGCGUCCGAGUUGUAAUCUAAAGAAGUGUUUUCCGUGACGGACCGUGCAUAAGUCUCCUGGAAUGGAGCGUCAUAGAGGGUGAGAAUCCCGUAUAUGGCACGGACUCCCGUUACUUCUGUGAUACACUCUCAACGAGUCGAGUUGUUUGGGAAUGCAGCUCCAAAUGGGUGGUAAAUGCCAUCUAAAGCUAAAUACUGGCGAGAGACCGAUAGCGAACAAGUACCGUGAGGGAAAGAUGAAAAGCACUUUGGAAAGAGAGUGAAACAGUACGUGAAAUUGUUGAAAGGGAAACGCUUGAAGUCAGUCGUGCCCUUUGGGAUUCAGCCUUGCUUCUGCUUGGUUUACUUCCCUUUGGGUGGGUCAACAUCAGUUUUGGUCGGAGGAGAAAGGCUUGGGGAAGGUAGCAACAUUCGUGUUGUGUUAUAGCCCCUUGUUGUAUACUUCGACUGGGAUUGAGGACCGCAGCACGCCUCUGGCCGGGGUUCGCCCACGUACGUGCUUAG